GACAAGUAUGCAUGAUAGCGACAAUAAAUUUAUUAUUUAAAGAACGACGUUUCCAAGUCCGAUUUAGAUCUUUAACAAAUAACAUUUCAUAGAGUAAACACUCGAACUUUCCCCGACAUUUUCUCAACACCUCGAAGUUUUUCCUCGAUGUUCUUUGCGUCUUCGCCGUGCUGUUUAAGCAUAUGUUCCCUGACAACCGAUACUUGUGUUCAUCAAUGCGUUGAUUUAAGUGUCGGAAAGUGUAACCGACAUAAUCUGCGUCGCACAGAUCACACUUGAAGAAAUAAACAACACAUUGCUGAUUCGAUCACAAGGAGUGGUUUCGUUUCUGCUGCUGGGAAAUCUGCGGCAAUCUUCCUGCUUGUGUAGACUUGUGUUGCCUACCGAUGGUCUCACUGAGGUUACGGAGCUGUCGCCUCACCGAGUUUGCUGAGUUUUUCUGCUGAUUUUUUAUGAAAUGUUAUUUAUUAAAGAUCUUAAACCUAGUUUAAACAAAGAAUCGGACUCGAUACGCUCAAAACUAUUUGCAUAACAUUCUCUAUUAGCAUAUUUGUUCGUCUAUAUAUAGUGUUGAUUUGUUUGUUUAAUUCAUUUGUUAUUCGAUUUGCAUGUUUAAUUAUUCUAACUAUGUUAAUUAAAGGUCUUAUAGAGUGCUUAAAAUUGCAACUAUCAUAUAUGACGAAUUAGUUUGCUUGCGCAAUUGUUUGCAAACGCUAUUCUAGUAUUCAUAUUAUUUAAUUGUUUUCUGUAAUAAUUUGAAUCAAUCAAUCAAUCAAUCAAUCAAUCAAUCAAUCAAAACUUUAUUUAAAGUGAUAUGGCAAUAAAAAUAAACUUUGUCUUAUUUGAAAGAAAUUUUAAAGUUAUAUAUGAAGACCCUUUGCAACUUUUUUGUACCUUGCUUGGUUUUCGAAAUAUUUUGAACAAAAACAGUGUGCAGUCCGCCAUCUUGGUAUUAUAAUUGACCUAAUUAACUGAGUUUUUGAGACGUCACAAGCAGGGUAAACUUGUUAAAAAGUCUUCAUGUGGGACUAAAUUUCUUCGAAAAGGUUCUUAAAAUGUUGUGAGUUAAUUGAAUACUAAAAAGACUUCGGAAAAUCGAGUUUCAUAUUGAUGACAUGUGGUUUGCAAGAAAAAAAUUCGCAUAUCCAAGAUGGCGGAAUGCACGCUGCUUUGAUCAAAAUAAGUCGAUUUAUUUCAAAAACCAAGCAAGAUACGGAAUAAUUGUAAAGAAAGUUUAUUUAUCAUUUUAAAUGUUCUUUCAAACAAGGCAAACUUAAUUUAUAUUGCCAUAUCCUCCUUUUAAACACGGUGAAAUCUACAGUAUAACAUUUUACGAGAUAAUUAACAUAUAAUUACAAUUACGCUAUGACAAUUAAUAAUUUUAAGAGGGUCCUGAAUGGGGGGGGGGGGGGGUAUCCCAUUUCCCACCUGAAAUGUUGGCAAAAUCACAGUCCCAGUUGGAUUUUUAUUAGAAAUCCUAGUCCGAGUCUAAUCACAGUCCCAGUUCGAUUUUUAUUAGAAAUCUCAGUCAAUACAAAACAUAGGUCCGCUGUGGCGGGCAUCUACUGAAUAGAAUAGUAGCACUGGGAAAUAAAAGUCAUUGAGCAGAUAAAAGCAUAGAUGUGCACCCUAGCUGACCUUUGGAAUCGAUUUCUGGCAUUUCCAGAGUCAUAACACAACUAGCACAACGUGGAAACGUCGCAUUGUUGACGGGAUGGCUAGUUUAUGUUGUUAGCUCACAGUCGGGCUAGAAAUCGGAAAUUUUUAUAUACCGUGAUAAAACUAAAAGAUACAAAUUUGAAGAUACAAUCUCGAAAAUAUAAACACUCCACACAGUAGUUAUUGAUAAUGAUUGGAACAAGAAUAUUGCAAUGAAGAUACGGGGCCGAAGUUAUAUUUUUGUUCAGACAUUGCGUAAUUUGAUAAUCGAUCUCGCUUGACUUUCAAAGGCCAUAAAUCGCCACAAUGUUGAUAAUGACUUAAACUAUUGUGAGGAAUUAGUUGAUAUUGUUUUCACUGAAUCGAAUCAUGCGCUGAACCUAUCACUGAACCGAAGAUAUGAACGUACAAAGUCGUCGAGAAAGAGUUCAGACAAUUGUGUAAUUUGAUAACAUGCGAUCUCCCUUGACUUUCAAAGUUGUUACCAGAGAAGUACCAGGCGGAAAACGAAUUCUAAUAAUAAAUAUUAAAGCCCAGCAAAGUGCUUUUAAAAGAGCCAUAAACCAUUAAAU